rnacentral:pre_miRNA from 1 species
CCUAAGUUUCCGUGUACUACGUUUGACGUUUGACUGUCCAUCUUAUAUGAAUUUUUUUUAUGAUUACUAUUUUCAUUGUUGUUAGAUGAUAAAACAUAAAUAAUAUUUUAUGUGUAAUUUAUCUUUUUAAUUUUUUUUAUAAAUUUUUUAAAUAAGACGGAUAGUCAAAUGUUGGAGACAGAAGCUUGAGAAUCGAGUUAUU